rnacentral:lncRNA from 1 species
CAGACUAUAUGUUAUGAUUGAAAUUGUAUUUAUAAUUAUCAGAAAUUAGAUCUGUUAAAUCUUCAUACAGGGUUUCGACGCUGCCAUAUUUCCCAGUAUUAAAAUUUUCCCAGUAGGCAAAGAGAGUAGAAGUAAAAUGAGAAGUGCUUUUCUUUUGAUUUUCUGCUUAUUUAUCGGUUGCCAAUAGAAACGAUUUGAAAGGGACCAUUUGUGAUUCUGUGUGUAACAAUUCAAUUAGUAAGUAAAGGUUAAGGUGAGGUUUUUUAGCUAACCGUUUAAGGCGGGAGUGGUAACUUUCAAUGGAACUGUUAGUUCGAAUUGGCUGCAUGAAUACCGACCAUGACUUCGGUCGCCACACAGUGCUGUUUAGCCAUGUCUUUUCCAUAUAAUCAAAUAGAUAUGCUCCCUUCCUCUCUAUAUAUAGAUAUAGAACAUGCUCCAAGAAUGAUGUUCAAAUCCACAUCUUGGGAAAGAAAAAUGUAAGAAUUAUUUCAUUCGCAGUUAAUGUAUAGUAGGCCUACUUUUGGGUUUGGGGUUUUAAAACUUUACCGUUUUGUUUUAGCGUUGUUAUUCAGCUUCCCUUAUCUUUGACUCUUUUUAUACAUUUAACACAUUAUUUUUGAUAUUUUCCGGAACGAUACAAAAGGAGAGAAGGAAACAGAGAACUAGGAACAGGAAUUUUUGACAAUUUCAUCUUGUAAUCGAACAUUUUCUUUUCCCUUUUCUUUCUUGGCCACUUUAAUCAUCUUGUUCCUCAUUCUCGGUGAUGCUGCAAUCUGUGAAAAUGCUUGAUAGAUCGCUAAUAAGGGCUAAUAUUUAUUAAAAUUUAGAGCUUAUAUUACCUAAAAAAAAAUACAUUAAUUUAUAUUCAACUUCAUUCCUACAGGUAAACUCACCUUUCAAUUCACCAUAUUUAUUUUACAUUUCAGGAACGGCUUCUUCUGGAAGACACAUUUCAUCCAUUCCAGGUUUUUGAGCUUCAUCUCCAGAAUCUGUAAUUACCAAAACAGAUUAUUCCACCUUAAUAUUUAUUAAAAUUUAGAGCUUAUAUUACCUUUCAAAACAUCCUCCAUUUCUUCUUCAGUUACGGCUCCUGCCUGAUCUCCGUACAUAUCAUCAUCCUGGAUUUGAUCAACUUCAAGAUCCGAUUGGUCUUGUUCGAAAAGAUAACGUGUCAAAUUACCUUACUGAAAUUGAUGAGAAUAAUUAAAGAUGAUAACACUAGUGUUGGUUGAUUGUACCCCCGAUUUUUUCUGGGACUGAGCUGUACAGAGGUAUGAUAUGCGAAUAAGGGCCCGACAACCCUCCAAUAUCUUCGGAUGGAUUGAGAUGCAUGUAUCCUAGAAGAAAUAACUCUCUAUAUCCGUCACUAAUAUGGCAGCCAUCGUAAUAAUUGAGAGGUCCAAAGAAGAUUUGAGAUAUUGUCUCUGUGGUUGAGCCGGUAAACUAUUGGUCUACUCUGUUCUUAAUUAUUUGUCAAGCAGCUGGAGGGGGGACAUAUCGUAUUCACCACAUUACUGGGCUUUGGCGUCUCUGGAGGAUGGGCAUAGGUUUUAAUUGCCACAAGAGCAACCUCAUAAAAUAAAGAAUAAUAUGCAAAAGAAGAAGGGCAUGAAGCGGGUCAAGAGACAACAGAGCAUGGAAACGAGAGAAGACAAAGAAGGAAUGCAAACCACCACCUAUAACUUCUUGCAGAGAUGUGUCUAAACCUAUUAGAAAAUCAGCAGGAAUGUGACUAAAUUUGUGUUGAAAGAUUCGAGUCUGUGAGUUGAGUGUCAAGUCUGUUUACCUAUUUUCUCUUUUAUUCAAGUGGUUGUACAUUGAAUUUCUCAAACUCUGUGGGUAAGAUCUUUAAUAUAUCUUCGCAUCAAACGGUUCUUCCUAAGCACAGGUGAAAAUGAUGGUGAAUUCGUCAAUCAGCAAAGGAACAUGAUUGCAUUUUGUAAUCAAACCAAUUGCGAGAAAUUUUUAGCUAUGUUGGGCCGAUUUGAAUGUGAUUUAUUUAUUUUUCGAUAAGAUGAGAAGAAGGGUGAGACGAAGGUGGCAAAAGACGUCAAAAUGGGAAGAUCUGGAAAAAAAAAUUAAAGCUCCGAAGAGAACCAGAACUUCUCAUCCCAUAUUUUGUCAAAAAAAUUAGAGCCACGACCAAAUCCAGAGGUGCUUUGGAAAAGUAUCAGAUGAACACGACGAUAGCCUAAAUUUACCAGUAGUAGCAAAGCAAACAGGGGAGAUUUUUCAUUCAUCCUAGUAAAUUACUGAAACUCAAAGAGCAUACGUUUCCAUCUCUUGCACCAACAUCAAUUUAGUGACGCACGUAAAUAUCAAACGUGCUUUUAGCACAGAGAAAGACAUAAAAUCAGCAAAACUAACACAAUUAAAGUAGCCCUAUUUCAAUUGCUCCUCUUCAUUUAAAAUAAUUUUCAUCUUCUUUACAUUUCUUAUGAUGAUCCAGCGGGAUCAGUCGUGCCAGCUUGUCAAUGUCAUGUCAUUUAUGUAUAUCUGUGACAGCAUUUAGUAAGGAACAUACAGAUAUAUACAUAGACUCAAUCAACAAAAUGAUCCUACAGCCGAAGACAACAAGCACUCAUCGAUGUCCUUAUACUGCAUUUUAAAUAUUCCGAGGAGCUCCAAGUAGUAAGUAACGAAGCUAUUAUAAAUUGAAUUCGUAUUUUUUUCGAAUAGUCAAUUACAUUUUCCUGAUUUAUUUCUAAACGGGUAAGUAUUUAUCGACUCUUCAUUUCAUUUAACAGUUACAAUUGAUAAAAUCAUAAAACUUGGUGAAGGAUCUUUGGGAACAGUUUACAGAGGAAAACGCAAGGGCAUUCCCGUUGCUGUUAAAGAAAUUUAGUUACAAAACAUGGAUACAAAACUUUUUUAAAGAGAAGAAAAAGAAAACAUUUUGGUGGAACACAAAAAUGUGUUGAAAUUAUGGGACAUCCGUCAUUCCAAUGACAAUAGUUUCUUGUAUAGCUGACAUAUGAAAAUCUAUUUUAUAAUAAAAAGAAAUUAAUUUCUUCUAUUUAUUAUUGCAGGCAAUGGGUAUUAGAGUUGUGUGCUGGAACACUUAAAGACCACAGCGUUGGGAAUUUAGUGCAUCGCGAUCUUAAACCUGAAAAUCUGCUCAUCUCAGUGACAACACCCGUACAAAUGAAAAUAUCCGAUCUCGGUUUUGUUAAAAGAACAGACGAGAAUGGCUGCUUUUCUCAGAGUGAAAUCAGAGGAAGUCGUUUAUGGAUGGCACCUGAAAUGCUAGAAAAUUUUGAUUUAACUUGUCUUCUUCCCAAGGAAAUGUUUGCGGUCGACAUAUAUUCCAUGGGUUUCAGUAUUCUUUCAUAUAUCAGGAGGGUUUCAUGCUUUCUUCAGGGAAGGUAAAAUUUUGUAUAUGAAAAAUUUUGAACUGGUUCGAGGAAAAAUCAUUGGGAAUGAUCCUGUUGUGCUACAUUGCUGUAAAGAUUGUUUAACGCCUCUACUUUUUAACUUGAUUGGAAAUAUGAUCAAACCCAAAGAAGAAAGGACAAAUUUACCUGAAGUCAUAAAAAUAUUGAGAAAAGAAUUGUUUUCUUCGCGUUAGUGUAACUUUUCAUUGUGAAAUCCCAAAUAAUCGGUUUUUGCUAUCCAAACAAGGUCAAUUCAAAGUAGUGAUGCUGUCUGUGUUGAAAGAAGGAGUUUCUGUAAAUCGCUUCCACCCUAUCGAACCAAUUCUCGUCUGCGGCUUUGAUGAGCAAUUGGUUUGUUUUUCUGCGGAAAACUUUUCCAUUCCUUGUUCUAAUUGGAAGAUGGAAAAAAAUCAUCUUUGCAGUCUCAAUACAAAAACAAUUCAAGCAAUGGAAUGGAAUUGGACGGAUCCCAAUUGGCUGCCAUCUUUGGUAAAAGUCACGUCAUUGCAUGGGAUUACUUAAAACGCGAAAUUUUGGUUUCUAUUAAUUUACCGAAAAGUAUUAAUAGCAUCGUUUGGAAACCCAUCAGACAAAAUAUCUGUGCUCUUUUUCAUCCCUUGAUUGGAAACACAGUUAUUUUCUUGGAUUCCUCAUCUGUCGAAAGGGGGAUAAUUCCUUCCUCUUAGAGAAUGGCGACAUUGAUGUUUAUGUUAUUUGCGAAUCAAAAGAGCCGGAAGUCGUAAAAAAAUUCAAACACGACGAUUGCGAAUCUGAUAUGUAAUGAGACUAUAAGACGAAGUAUUUGGCCACUUUUUCUUGUGAUGAAUGUAUGAAGAUUUGGUCAAUGGACAGUGACCAACUCGUUCACACCCUGAAGAUCAACCCUGGAUGUCGCAUUUUUUCUUGUUGUUUGAAGGAGAAAAAACAGAAGAGAAGGGAAUAGACGCGACCAGAAUAUUUGCGAAAAACUUAUUUGUGCUGGUGGAAUGGACAACGGGCAGAUUGUUGUGAGGACUGAUUUUGAAGAGAAUAUAAACCAAAUUCUUAAUCAAUAUUACCUUUCAAUACUUUCGCUUUCUUUUUCACCUGGUGGGCGCUUUCUGUCGGCAUUGGAUGCAAGUGGAAAAAUAGUUAAAUCAGAUCACCUUGGUCGAUUGUUCAACAUCUCCCUUUGGACCUGUUUCCCCAGGGGGUCCGAUAUAUGGUGAGAUGGGUCGACAUCCCCCUCUAUUUCAUUCGAUGGACCAGUGUCUCCCUUUUGUCGAAUGUCUCCCUUUUCGCCUGAGAAUCCGAAUGUGCCAUUUACAUUUGUUUCUUCUAUACAUUUGUACAAGGUCAAAUAUUUAGAUAAUACCAAAUUUCAAACUGAUAUAAUGAAAUAAUUAAGAAAAAAGUAUUUCUAUCGUAAGAAUUUGUAUGCUAACCCAAUUCUCUCUUAUCACCUUAAGUUCUGACGGCUCCAACUCCAAUUUCUCUCUUGCUACCGCCCAGGUGGCACACAUCCCUGCAACAGACUCUGUUUCCCAUUUUCUGGGAAACAUACUGAAAACAGAUCUGUAACACCUCUGAAUUAGGUGUGAUUUUCAAUGUCUGUAAUCUGCAUUUAACACAUGCCUGU